AUUGAACGCUGGCGGCAUGCCUUACACAUGCAAGUCGAACGGCAGCACGGGAGCAAUCCUGGUGGCGAGUGGCGAACGGGUGAGUAAUAUAUCGGAACGUGCCCAGUCGUGGGGAUAACGCAGCGAAAGCUGUGCUAAUACCGCAUACGAUCUACGGAUGAAAGCGGGGGAUCGCAAGACCUCGCGCGAUUGGAGCGGCCGAUAUCAGAUUAGCUAGUUGGUGGGUAAAGGCCCACCAAGGCGACGAUCUGUAGCUGGUCUGAGAGGACGACUAGCCACACUGGAACUGAGACACGGUCCAGACUCCUACGGGAGGCAGCAGUGGGGAAUUUUGGACAAUGGGCGCAAGCCUGAUCCAGCAAUGCCGCGUGCAGGAUGAAGGCCUC
rnacentral:rRNA from 1 species